CCUACGGGGGGCAGCAGUGAGGAAUAUUGGUCAAUGGGCGCGAGCCUGAACCAGCCAAGCCGCGUGAAGGAUGAAGGCACUAAGGGUUGUAAACUUCUUUUAUCAGGGAAUAAAGAGAGGCACGUGUGCCUGUUUGAAUGUACUUUAUGAAAAAGCAUCGGCUAACUCCGUGCCAGCAGCCGCGGUAAUACGGAGGAUGCGAUCGUUAUCCGGAUUUAUUGGGUUUAAAGGGAGCGUAGAUGGGUUGUUAAGUCAGUUGUGAAAGUUCGCGGCUCAACCGUCAAAUUGCAUUUGAUACUGGCAGCCUUGAGUACAGGAGAGGUAUGCGGAAUUCGUGGUGUAGCGGUGAAAUGCAUAGAUAUCGCGAAGAACUCCGAUUGCGAAGGCAGCCUGCUGGACUGCCACUGACGCUGAUGCACGAAAGUGUGGGUAUCAAACAGGAUUAGAUACCCCGGUAGUC
rnacentral:rRNA from 1 species